rnacentral:rRNA from 1 species
AUACGUAGGUGGCGAGCGUUGUCCGGAAUUACUGGGUGUAAAGGGCGUGUAGGCGGGGAUGCAAGUCAGAUGUGAAAUUCCGGGGCUCAACCCCGGCACUGCAUCUGAAACUGUGUCUCUUGAGUGCUGGAGAGGAAAGUGGAAUUCCGAGUGUAGCGGUGAAAUGCGUAGAGAUUAGGAGGAACACCAGUGGCGAAGGCGACUUUCUGGACAGUAACUGACGCUGAGGCGCGAGAGCGUGGGGAGCAAACAGGAUUAGAUACCCUGGUAGUCCACGCCGUAAACGAUGGAUACUAGGUGUAGGAGGUAUCGACCCCUUCGGUGCCGGAGUUAACACGAUAAGUAUCCCACCUGGGGAGUACGGCCGCAAGGCUGAA